UGUCCUGUGUAGUAUUGAGUAUAAAAACUAGAACCGCAACUGGUUCCCAAAAGCAAAUUUAGUGUUUCCUUGUUAGAAGAUACAAAGCCAAAGACACAUACGGACUUCGGCAACACCAUGAAAAUUUUGAGAAGCAAUAAGAAGCUUGGUUAGUGUUUUGGAGUCAAAUAUGACUAGAUGUCAUGUGUAUGAUUGAGUAUAAGAACUAGCAUGGCAACCGAUUCCCAAUAGCUAAAGUUAUGUUUCCUUGUUAGAAGAUACAAAGCCAAAGACUCAUACGGACUUCGUGUACACCAUCAAAAUUAU
rnacentral:sRNA from 1 species